UAAGAACACACAAAUAGAGUCAUUAAUACAGAAACAAAAAAACAUAUAAAAGAACAGAGCCAGGGGGAGUUUCAAAUAAAUACAUUAAAGAUAGAGCAUAACUGAAUGGUUUUAGCAGCCUUCUUAUUUUUUGAAUCAUGGAUGGAAUUGAUGUACUGUUCGGUCUCCUUACCAAAAGCAAUAAAAGAAGGUUUAGAAUUACUAAAUUUCGCUUUGUGAAUAUGAUAUUUCCCUAAAAUGAUCAAUAGAUUAACUAGGUAUAUUUCUUUCUGUUUUUUGUUAUCAUGGAAGCCAAACAGUACAUUUUUCCAAAACAAAGAAAAAUCUGCAAUAAGAUUAGGUGUAGACCAUGAUGUUCCACCACACCGGCAUAUCACAUGGUCAAAUGCGGAAGUGGUGGUUAUGUUAUAGCCUCGCGUAUGGUUUGGUUGUCGUUGUAAUGGAUCACGAUUACUCUUUGGCGAGUGCAGUAAAAACCAGUUAAGUGCCAGUAAAACGUAAGCGUCCAUAUUCGGAAACUAGGAUUAAUAUCGGCCAGGCGUUUACGAGAUGGAGAGAGCUGCGCGAAAAUCUAGUACUCGACAGAGACUCUGCUCUCGCGAGUGUAUUGAUAGACAGUUUCCAAAAAGGUGGCCCAUCAACGUCAACUCCGAGUAAAAGACCUGUAAUACCUCUUCAGACACUGUCUACCAUAGCUUCUUCAGAGAGCAUUGUUUUCUGGAGUCUGGAAUAGAACAACUUUCCAAGGCAGAAAGUGAUGAGCAGUUACAUGAAAGGAUUGAAUGGAGAAAUACUGAUGAUGCCACAAGGGACACAGACAGUGAAGACAGCACUUCAGAUGAUGAUUAUGUACCCUCCAUCUGUCUCAGAACUGGAAGAGUCAAAACGGAAUUUGUGAAGAUUCAGGAGCUUCCAGUUCUUGGCCUUGAAGAGACCGUUCAUAUUGCAACGCAAAAUGAAGUAGUACCAGUACGAGAAGAUCAUGUAUUCAUGUCUUCUGGCAUCCAACAUGUCAUGAGUGAAGAGGACAUCAUUGGACAAAAGCCAUCAGUCGUCUAUGAGUCAAUGCUGAAACACCUGGUCAUAUUUUUGCAGCUGCCGAUGCAGAUGGACGAAUGGACAGUCCUGGCUACUGUGCCCAGUAUUGCUCCUACACUGCCAUGGAGAAUGAUUCAAAAGAAAUCAUCUCAGUUGUUACCAUCGAUAAGAGGCAGACCGCACGCAAUCCUGUGAUCAUGGAGAAAGAGGCUUUUGUCACGACCGUGGACCAGCUUCUUGGUGAAGUUAAGAUUGCAGAAAUUUGCACUGAUGCUCACACACAAAAUUUCCUCCGUUAUGAAUAAAACAACUGGUCGCUAUAAAGAGAAAGGAAUUGUCCACUCAUGGGACAUAUGGCAUGGGGCAAAGAAUUUAGCCAAGAUGAUCUCUGCGCUAAUUUGUCAUUCUUGAGUCUCUUUGUUGCUGGUAUACAUUCUGAUUCUGAUUCUGAUGCUAAAAUGUCCUAAACCACAUAUGUUAUUUGCAAUCUAAGGCAGCACAGCAAACUGGACAAAAGAUCCUUCUCCACUGGUUAAAAGACAUUGUAAAUCACUUUUGGUUCUGCUGCAAGACGGCAGACACGGAGCAACAGUUCAUUAUCGACCUGUCAUCUUGAGGCGUUCCACAACCACUUGCUUAUGUGGUUCAGCUCUUCACCGAUGGUGUACGAGGCAAGAACUCUCCUGGCAGCCCUGGAUUACAACCACCAUAAAGAUAGACCACCACUGCUAAACAAAAAAGGGGAAAAGAUCUAUCGUCGAGUGUUUAAAAAAAAAAUAGGAAGAUGGACGGUAUAUGCUAUGAAGGUGAACAAAGACUACAGCUACAUACCAGAUCUACAGGCAGCAAUUCUGCAUGAAAGACUACAGGCUGACAAGGGGAUGCCAAAGCGUCGGACUCUAAGGCCAGAGGAUCCACGGAGACUGGGCCUCAUUCCAAAAGUCCCACCUCCACCAAUUGACACUAUUCUUGAGUCCCUUGUGAAUAGAGGGAUAGGUGCCAUUCCUACACUAUGUGAGACAGAUGAGCCCUGGAUUACAGCCUCUCAUCCACACCACCAGAGCUCUGUUUUGGACAGUCUAAACCAAAAUAAGUUAUUUGUUUAUAAAGUUUUGGAAUCUGACAUUUAAUUUUCCUUGGUCGUAUAUAAUUUGAGUGUGCAACCUCACUAUAUUGCUCUUAACCAUGUAUAUAUUUUGGACGACAGGUAAUAUUUGAUAUAGAAAUAUUUUGUAUACAUCAUGCAAACAAAUAAAUAUUGCAAAACCA